GCCACAUAGACAAAGCAGUCUAUGUGAAUGGUGCCUCCCAGAGCUGGCCAGUGCACAGAAUGAGUGAUAUGGCCCUGGAAAUGCAGAUUUGUUUUAUACCUAAAUUGUGUCUAUGCAAAAGAUUCUUCAUGAUAUCUCCAUGGCCUUCUCGUUUCAGGCACUACUGGUGUGGCCUUAAGCACAACUGUUGCACCUGGAAGUUCCAGUACAGGUAGGCUAACAAGCUGAGAAGAAACCUCCUGUCUAGAAAUAAGAUGGCAAAAAUGUCCUUCGCAUUGCUCUUCUUGUGUAAGAGCAUCACAGUAUAUUUCCCCGUCCUUCUGAAUCCUCACUCUUUCCUCGUUGCUUCUCUUUUUCUUCCAGAAGCCACAACUUCCACGGGAGUCGGUAGAACCACUGUAGUGGGAUGGAAAACAGGAGCUACCACUAGAGGAUCAGCAAACCAAGGAACUGGAAGCACAAUAGGUAAAUAUGGCAGCAAAGUGGACCACUUGUCUUACUGCCAUUGAAUUCUAGAAAAAUGGAGUCCUCUGUUGAGGAAUUUGCAUCUUUAUUUGGUUUGGGAAUAAAACUAUGCAUGAGAAAAUACA
rnacentral:lncRNA from 13 species